AGACUACAGCAGUGGAAUCUCCUGGCAGGUGAUGUUAGGGUUUCCAUGUUCCGUGAUCGUCAAAAGAAUCUUGUCCCAUUCUUCUUCAUGGAAGGUGAUCUUGUAGCCUGCAACAACAUCGAUGGUGUGAUGGCAGCCCUCAACAUCCUUCACGAUCCAGAUGAGUGGAGACUGUUCAUUGAUUCAUCGAAGACGAGUCUUAAAGCUGUUUUACUGCAUAAUGGCAAUGUUUUGCCAUCAAUUCCAGUUGGUCAUGCAGUCCAUAUGAAGGAAACCUAUGACAACACGAAACAACUUUUGAGGUGCAUAAACUAUGACCAACAUCAGUGGCAGCUUUGUGGCGAUUUGAAGGUUGUUGCGCUGUUGCUUGGUCUGCAGACUGGAUACACAAAGUACUGCUGUUUUCUCCGCGAAUGGGAUAGUCGUGCAAGAGAUUCCCACUACAUCAAGAAAGAUUGGCAACUCCGACAGUCAUUGGAGCCUGGGAGGAAAAGUGUUCAGCAUCCACCACUUGUUGAAUCAAGGAAGUUUUUGUUACCACCCUUACACAUCAAGCUGGGUCUGAUUAAGAACUUUGUCAAGGCCAUUGACAAAACACAAGCAGCUUUCAAGUACCUCCGUGGUAAAUUUCCAAGGUUAAGUGAAGCUAAGAUAAAGGAAGGUGUCUUUGUUGGUCCUCAGAUUCGUGAACUUCUUCGAGAUGAUGCAUUUGACCAUGCACUGCANNNNNNNNNNNNNNNNNNNNGGUUAGUGGCAAUAAAUGUUCUCGGAAACAACCAGGCAGACAACUACAGGUUGUUGGUGGAAAACCUCCUCAAGGCAUACAAAAGCCUUGGUUGCAACAUGUCACUAAAAAUACAUUUUUUGCACUCUCAUCUAGAUUUUUUUCCACCAAACUGUGGAGCAGUGAGCGACAAGCACGGCGAGCGAUUUCACCAGGACAUUGCAACAAUGGAGAAAUGCUAUCAGGGCAAAUGGAGCCCAUCAAUGCAUGCAGACUAUUGCUGGACAGUGACAAGAGAUGCUCCAUUGAAUGAAUACAAGAGACAAGCCAAGAAGCGCCGAGUAGACACUGAAUAGGACUA
rnacentral:lncRNA from 1 species